UGGGGAAUUUUGCACAAUGGGCGCAAGCCUGAUGCAGCCAUGCCGCGUGUGUGAAGAAGGCCUUCGGGUUGUAAAGCACUUUCAGCGGGGAGGAAGGCGAUAAGGUUAAUAACCUUGUCGAUUGACGUUACCCGCAGAAGAAGCACCGGCUAACUCCGUGCCAGCAGCCGCGGUAAUACGGAGGGUGCAAGCGUUAAUCGGAAUUACUGGGCGUAAAGCGCACGCAGGCGGUCUGUCAAGUCGGAUGUGAAAUCCCCGGGCUCAACCUGGGAACUGCAUUCGAAACUGGCAGGCUAGAGUCUUGUAGAGGGGGGUAGAAUUCCAGGUGUAGCGGUGAAAUGCGUAGAGAUCUGGAGGAAUACCGGUGGCGAAGGCGGCCCCCUGGACAAAGACUGACGCUCAGGUGCGAAAGCGUGGGGAGCAAACAGG
rnacentral:rRNA from 1 species